AAGUGUUUCUCAGAUCAGACCUUGUAAAAAUAUAAAUUCUGAUUCAGUAGAGCUGGACCAGGACCUGAGGUCCUGCAUUUCUAACAAGCUCUCAGGUGAUACCAUU
rnacentral:pre_miRNA from 1 species